ensembl:lncRNA
GGACUAUUUCUGGAUAUUGACAUCUAGUAUGGUCUGACAAAUAUGUUUGUUUGAUUCAGGCUGUAGCCACUUGCAUUGACCUUUCGUUUCCUUAUGCUUAUAGACUAGACUUAAAAUUUAAGGGAAGUUACAAUUACACUUACCUAAGGCAAUAUAUUAGUCAUUAUGUCUCUUUUAAAAAAUGUAGAAAUUAUUUAUCAAAUGGCAUUAAAUAUUUAUCACAAUUUUUACCUACUGUAAGGAAAAAGUUGUUGCUGGGGUGUCCUGGGCACUUCCUCAUGCUUUAAUCAUAAUUGCUGAUUUCUAAAUGGUUGCAAAUGUUUGUCCAUAACUGAGGUUUAUGGACGUCAGAGAGCAGCAUCAGGGAUCUUAUGAGAAGAUGGGGAACAAUUGUAGAUGUUCUGCUGAAAAUCUCCAUGUUGCAAGUCAUUUCUGAGUUUGUGUGCUAAUUCCCUAUUCUUGGCUGUGGCCUCCAAGCUUCUGUUAUUGCAACUUAAGACUAAGUGUGUGCUCUGGUAGGAUUUAAUUAGACUUUCUUCUUCAGAAGUCAGAGUAGCUAGAAGCUUUUACGUAUUUCUGGAGUUUUGACAUGAAUCAGUUUGGGUUACAGCAAGUUGAGGCUUCAAAGGGCGCGCUACACCAAAAAGGAAUGAGUAUAUUGUUAGAAGAAUAUUGUAAGUUUAUCUGGAAAAUAUCUGUUGUACUACAACAGUUGGUAUACAAACCUGGGAAACCCUUUAAGUAGACCUGGCAUCUGUGCCAGAGACUAUGACAAAGGAUGUGAAGGCAUUUGUUUGGAAAACAGGGGGAUGCUGGGCAGUAACAUAUGAACAUGAAGGACCGAUAUGUACCUGAUGAUCACUAAUAUUAAGAAAAAAAUCCUGGUCCAGAAUCUUUCCCUAGCCCCUUACCCUUACCCAUUCACUACCAUUUGUCUUCUUGAGUACUGGUACUUUUCACCAUGAAUUACACAAGGACCAGAAAGAAAAUCUAUUUAUAGAGCAAGAGUUAAAGGGGAACAGGGGAAAAACAGUGUAAGGAAAUAGAGCCUCAGCUUGGUCUCUUGAAAUGAAGUCUUAAAAUAUGGGCAAAUAGUGUCUGUAUGACUCUUUAUUCAAUCAUUCAGGAGAUGAUAUCCCAGCCAAACUCUCAAGCCCUUUGCUAGCUCAGAUCCUCUUGAGAGCAGUUUUACUUUCUUGGCUCUGCAGAAGUAGUGGCAGCUGCUGGCCAAGAUAGCCUAAUAGUUUGAGGAAGGGGAAGUUAUUUCAUCUCAUGAAAGUUUGCAUCAAUUCAGCGUUAGCAAGCAGAUCCUACUGCAGGAUCCAGCAACCAGAAGCAUAUUUGCCAAACCUGGUUUUUGUUUUUCUUUAUACAAGCAAAAGCUCCUAGCUCAUUGGCAGGCUUUGGCUCAGCUUCCCAACCUUCAUUCAAAACAUCCUCAGCCCUCUUGUUAAACAUCAGAAAUGCCAUGGAAAGUUCUGGAAAGCAGUUCCAAGGCAGGCCAUUUGUUCAGGGGCAAGAUGAAGGGCAAAAGCCAGUUGUGAGAGAGAGAAACUGAUGAGUUGGUAGGUUUGAAAGCAGCAUUUCCUUCACUCAUAGCUGUAUUUCAAGGAGAACCAGAUAUCAUUCUCUGGUUUUGGAUAAAAUGAGCCCUGAAACUUUCCCAUUUUGUUCAGGGCUUUGUCCAAUUUUUGUAACUCUUUUCAUUUUCAAGUCUUUUGCCUUUUUCAUCAUUUAACAUGAUAGCUAGUGGAAGACUUUGUGGACUCCUUGGAUACAGGUGAGAUUCUGAGGUUCUUUCGUCCUUCCAGUUCUGCUGCAAGCUGGUCUUAGGGAAGCUGCUAUUGUCAGGUACAGUUUCUACAAGUGGAAAAUAGGAACUUUCCUCCAGAAGGCAUUUGAAGAGCUAGGAAUGAUGUGUGCUGUAACAGUUGCUUCAUCCUUACAAUUGCUCUAUGUCACUGCAGUGCUGGAUAUUAGCCUUGUAACUAACGUCAGCACUUGAAUGAUGAAGUCUCAUACCUUUGUCCUCAUCAUGCCUUUCUAACACUUCCUCGCUGUUUCUGUACUUUGACAAAGUCUCCUUUCUUUGCCUCCAAAUUACCUUACUUCACAUAUAGUUAGAUUUCUGGGAUGAGUUGUUAAAGACUUGCAGAGUGUUAAAUACUCUUGGCCUGUGGUUGAGACUCCAUGAAUUACUGUAAUAAAAGUAGAGUUUAAUGAAUAAAAAAAGUUUUGUCACUGACACUUUAUAAAUAUUACUUAUAGAUAACUUUCAAAGGAACUUUCAAGCCUGUUUAACAAUAAUGUAACUUUCUCACCUGUCACCUUUCCAUGUUUUACAUGUGAAGAAAGAAAUAGUAUUCUCGGUGCUUAAUUAAUAUUCUUUGCCUCAGACUGAUGUUAGCCAUUAUGCUUAGGAUAGCUCAUUCUUUUGGUACAUCUCCUGAAGAGUAAGCAGGGUUAUUCACACAUAAUUAAGUGGUCAAGGACUAAAGUUUGUCAUAUAAAAGAGAUUCAUUUGGUUUAAUAAGUAGCUAUUAGAUGGAUGCUUCCUGAAUCAGUGAAUAAUCCCUUAAUUUUUUCAUGACUGCAGUGAGCUGAAGCUCAUCAGCUCAACAUAAAUCAUGGGUCUGCAGAGAUCUGCUCUACUGAAAAGUCUGCAAUUAGAGGAAAAUAGUCUGCUCCUAAGAGGAGAUCUAAUUGGUUCUAUGAGUUCUCCUACCCAAGAGACAAACUCUUUCCUCCAUUCUCUGGUCCAAUGGAUGGCAGUUGAACUGUUUGGAAAGUUAGUCCUUGAAAUCACAUGCCUUGGCAAGACUAUACGAUAAAGCCUUUAAAACUGUAUUUAUUACUAUGAAUAGUUUAUUACAUUCGUACUUGCAGCAAUAAUUUCUCAUUAAGUGCUGAACCAGUUUCUAUUUUCUUUUUCUUGAAUUUGAAUCAGUAUUAGAAGCAUAGGCUGACAAAAAGGCAGAAUAAUUAUGUGAAAAGCAAUUCCCAUUUAAAGAACCGUUGAAAUACUAUCAUGAAACAAGAGUCAGAGUGAUGCUUAUUGUUCCUAGUCUGCUAACUACACUGAGAAAUACAUGGCUGAAGAAAGGACGUCCCCAAAACUUUUGCUUGCCUCUGGACUGACAAUUCAUAGACCUCUCCCGUUUUUCAGUGAUUUUGCUCAUCCUACUCCUACACAGGUUGGUUGUUGUGUUUCCUGGCUUAGGAUAGAGGCAACAAAUGUUGUCUGACACCACACUAUACAAAAGACUACAUCUCCCACUGCUUCCAAGCUAACUGGACUCCUGGAAAUUCCAGAAAUACCCUCCUAUCCCCUUCCAUGGAUUUUCUUCUGCAGGAGGCUCCUGCUUAGAAAGGAUCAGACCUCAAGAGGAGUCUGGAUAACCUUACAGAUCCAUUAGGAUACUGUCUUAAGGAAGAGACGGGUCUCACACUGUUCUCUGAAAGCUGCAGACAGGAAAUUUAUUGUGCUGAUGCCACUACUGAGUGCCAAAAAUGGCAAUGGACACUUGAGUUGUAAGAGUAACCUUUUCCACAAAUAAUGUAGGGCUCUGUCUUUACAAAGCUGCUGUCUAUUUCCCCAGUACACAUUUUGAAAGUAUCUGUGCUCUCACUUGCCAAAUUUUACCAUGUGUAAGAAUGCCUGUAAUAUAUCUUUGAAAUGUGCCGUUGGUAUUGUAACUUCAGGGGUUUAUGUGUUUUAUCAAUGUUAAGGAGAUAAGAAAUAAUUAAAGGGAUAAAAAUACUGUUUCAUUGCA